rnacentral:rRNA from 1 species
UGGGGAAUAUUGCACAAUGGGCGCAAGCCUGAUGCAGCCAUGCCGCGUGUGUGAAGAAGGCCUUCGGGUUGUAAAGCACUUUCAGCGGGGAGGAAGGCGUUAAGGUUAAUAACCUUGGCGAUUGACGUUACCCGCAGAAGAAGCACCGGCUAACUCCGUGCCAGCAGCCGCGGUAAUACGGAGGGUGCAAGCGUUAAUCGGAAUUACUGGGCGUAAAGCGCACGCAGGCGGUCUGUCAAGUCGGAUGUGAAAUCCCCGGGCUCAACCUGGGAACUGCAUUCGAAACUGGCAGGCUAGAGUCUUGUAGAGGGGGGUAGCAUUCCAGGUGUAGCGGUGAAAUGCGUAGAGAUCUGGAGGAAUACCGGUGGCGAAGGCGGCCCCCUGGACAAAGACUGACGCUCAGGUGCGAAAGCGUGGGGAGCAAACAGG